CAUCACUACGCUAGAUGCAUAUCAAUAAGCGGAGGAAAAGAAACUAACAAGGAUUCCCUUAGUAACGGCGAGUGAAGCGGGAAGAGCUCAAAUUUGAAAUCUUAAAGGGUUUCCCUUUACGAAUUGUAGUUUAAAGAAGUGUUUUCUGUUGGAGUUUCGGUAAAAGUUCUUUGGAAUAGGACAUCAUAGAGGGUGAGAAUCCCGUAUUUGACCGUUACUUUCCAGCUGUGUGAUACACUUUCAAAGAGUCGGAUUGUUUGGGAAUGCAGUCCAAGAUGGGUGGUAAAUUUCAUCUAAAGCUAAAUAUUGGCGAGAGACCGAUAGCGAACAAGUACCGUGAGGGAAAGAUGAAAAGAACUUUGAAAAGAGAGUUAAACAGUACGUGAAGUUGUCAAAAGGGAAGCGUUUGACACCAGUGUUGUUUAGUUGAAAAUCAAUUCAAUAGUUUUUGAUUCUAUGUAGUAUUGACUUCAUCAGCUUGCUGCUUUCUUCUCAGAAAUUAUUGAAUGCACUUUUCAGUUAACAAGUCAACAUCAAUUUCUUUUGUUGUAAAAGGGUAAGAGGAAGGUGGCUUGCGCUUCGGCUCAAGUGUUUAUAGCCUUUUAUCUCUGCAAUCGGAGAGAUUGAGGUCUGCAGCGUAGAUCCUUCGGGGUUAGAUACGUUUGUGCUAAGUUAUGGCUUUUCAUAGACAACUUGUUGACUAUGUUUAGUCUUGUAGCUUACUCGCUGACGCUAUUUUACCUACGCUUAGGAUGUUGAUAUGCAUGACUGAUAU
rnacentral:rRNA from 1 species